GCGUCGGUGGUUCAGUGGUAGAAUGCUCGCCUGCAACGCGGGCGACUAGGGUUCUAUUCCCGGCCGACGCA
rnacentral:tRNA from 1 species